rnacentral:rRNA from 1 species
AGAAUGAACGCUAGCGAUAUGCUUAACACAUGCAAGUUGAACGUUGUUUUCGAAUCAGAAUGAGAACAAAGUAGCGAACGGGUGCGUAACACGUGGGAAUCUGCCGAACAGUUUGGGCCAAAUCCCGAAUGAAUAAAAGCUAAAAAGCGCUGUUUGAUGAGCCCACGUAGUAUUAGGUAGUUGGUUAGGUAAAAGCUGACCAAGCCUACGAUGCUUAGCUGGUCUUUUCGGAUGAUCAGCCACACUGGGACUGAGACACGGCCCAGACUCCUACGGGAGGCAGCAGUGGGGAAUAUUGGACAAGUGGCGCAAGCCUGAUCCAGCCAUGCCGCGUGAGUGAUGACGGCCUUAGGGUUGUAAAGCUCUUUCGCACGCGACGAUAAUGACGGUAGCGUGAGAAGACGCCCCGGCUAACUUCGUGCCAGCAGCCGC